GGCUUAGCUCAGCGGUAGAGCAGCGGUUUUGUAAACCGAAGGUCGGGGGUUCAAUCCCCUCAGCCG
rnacentral:tRNA from 1 species